AACUUUCAACAACGGAUCUCUUGGUUCUGGCAUCGAUGAAGAACGCAGCGAAAUGCGAUAAGUAAUGCGAAUUGCAGAAUCCGUGAGUCAUCGAAUCUUUGAACGCAUAUUGCGCCCUUUGGUAUUCCGAAGGGCAUGCCUGUUCGAGCGUCAUUAUCACCCCCUCAA
rnacentral:rRNA from 1 species